rnacentral:rRNA from 1 species
AUGGCCGCCCACGCCAAGCUCCUCCUGUACAUUGUGGUGGUGGACGAGAGUGGCGCCUCCUCCUUCCGCUACACGCGAUCCCUCCUCCACAGCACGCUGCAGCUCAUGGGAUGCAAGCCAAGGCACGCAUUCGAGAUUAGCCGGCGGGUGUUCGAUGUGGUCCGCGGCGACCCCGCGGAGAUGGAGAUGGAGUCCCAAGGUAAAAGCGGAGGGGUGCAGCGGUACGAGCUGCCGGACGCGGCCACCAGCCCCAGGCAGUUCCAGUUCGAGCUCUACAAGCGCCGGACCACGGUGCUCAUCCCGAGGGACCUCUUCCUGCACCUCGUGUGCCAGGCCCUGGCCCUCUACAAGUACCUCGCCCCAAACCAGAGGAACCACCUCACCCUAGCCUGCAGGAUUCGAGAAAGAAAAGAGUCCGUCACGGUUCUUCUAUGCGGAACAAGUGGUUGCGGCAAGUCUACUCUUUCCACUUUGCUGGGGAGCAGGUUAGGGAUCACCACUGUAGUUUCCACAGAUUCCAUUCGCCACAUGAUGCGGAGCUUUGUUGACGACAAGGAAAACCCCCUUCUCUGGGCAUCCACUUAUCAUGCAGGUGAAUGCCUCGAUCCGGUGGCUGUUUCCAAAGCAAAAGCCAGGCGGAAAGCAAAGAAACGCUCGGGCGUGUCAACCAACUCAGGUAUGGAUUAUGAGGGCAGCGGAGACAAGGUUGAGGGAAAACCAAUUGGGAAGAAGCAAAUGGCUAUAGAAGGUUAUAAGGCACAGAGUGAGAUGGUCAUCGACAGUCUGGAUCGGCUUAUCACCGCGUGGGAAGAUCGCAAAGAAUCGGUCGUUGUUGAGGGCGUUCACUUGAGCCUUAAUUUUGUGAUGGGCUUAAUGAAGAAACAUCCAUCAAUAAUUCCCUUUAUGAUCUACAUAUCCAACGAGGGCAAGCACACCGAGAGGUUUGCUGUACGCGCAAAGUACAUGACGCUUGACCCAACCAAAAAUAAGUAUGUCAAAUACAUCAACAACAUUAGAACCAUCCAAGAGUACCUCUGUAGCCGAGCUGACAAAUACCUAGUUCCCAAGGUAAACAACACUAAUGUUGACCGGAGCGUGGCUUCCAUCCACGCCACCGUCUUUAGCUGCCUCCGCAGGCGAGCUACUGGAGAACAGUUGUAUAACCCCGACACAAACACUGCAGCGACUGUAAAUGAAGAGUACAAAAACCAAUGUGUUGCCAACUCCAUGAGUUCCAAGGGGAUGUUCAAAUUAAUCCAACGCCUAGGAUCCUCAAGGAAGCUGAUGGCCAUCGUUGAUGUGGAUGGAUCCGUUUCAAAGGCUUGGCCCGUUGAGUCAGGCGAUGGAGACGGAAAAAACGGUUCCCAAGGUGGCGGAGACCAGAAAUCUCUAGGAAACCCAAUAUAUGGACCUCUGAAUAUUGGAAGGGCCGAGUCGGUGAAUCUCCAGUUUGGCUCCUUUGGAAUAAGUGCAUGGCCUACCGACACAGGCUGUACAAGUCAAGCUGCAAGUGUGGACGGCUCGUGGAUAAAUGGUAAUGAAGGCAGUAGCAGCGGCCAUGUUGCAUCUUCAUCCGGCGGCUCCCCUAAGAAGGCCGAUGGGCAUCAUAAAGAGAUUAAAGAGUCAGCAGCAGCAUCUGGCAGUGAUGACGAUGACGAAGAAGAAGCUGAUGUUCCACCUAAUUCAGGGAGUGAUGAGGACCUAAGUGAAGAAGAUGAUGACGAAAACCAUGAUGACAUGGAAGGGUCUGUGGACGAGGACUGCAACAGGUCCGACGAGGAAUACGACGACCUGGCCAUGCGGGAUAGUAUGGAGAACGGUUAUCUGAGCGAUGACGGCAUCAUGGUGCACACCGGCUUAAGCAAAUGCCUGAGCAACAGGUUUCCGGAGGGCAGCCAGCAUAAUAACCGCGGCACACCGAGGAAACAUCUCGAGUCUCUGCGAAGCCUGUCCAAGGUUGAUACUAGCACACAUGUUCCUGACACGGCGCGCUCUUGUGCUGCCGCUGCCGCUGCCGCUACCCCUGGUGGCAAGAGAAGCACGGCCAGGAAGUGGAGGCGGUCCCUGAGCGACAAGAUCAGUUGGCGGCCGCGGAGCUGCCCCUCUCUCGCGGAAGCGGCGGUGAAGCCCAAGGGCUCAGCUGCUGUUCCAGUGGUUCCCGAGUCCUGA